rnacentral:rRNA from 1 species
UACGGAGGGGGCGAGCGUUAUUCGGAAUUAUUGGGCGUAAAGGGCGCGUAGGCGGCUUGGCAAGUCAAAGGUGAAAUCCCUCGGCUCAACUGAGGAACUGCCUUUGAGACUGCCUGGCUUGAGGCCGGGAGGGGGUAGCGGAAUUCCCAGUGUAGCGGUGAAAUGCGUAGAUAUUGGGAGGAACAUCAGUGGCGAAGGCGGCUACCUGGACCGGUUCGUGACGCUGAUGCGCGAAAGCGUGGGUAGCAAACAGG